CUCUCGGCAACGGAUAUCUUGGCUCUCGCAUCGAUGAAGAACGUAGCGAAAUGCGAUACCUGGUGUGAAUUGCAGAAUCCCGUGAACCAUCGAGUCUUUGAACGCAAGUUGCGCCCGAGGCCAUCCGGCCAAGGGCACGCCUGCCUGGGCAUCAC
rnacentral:rRNA from 1 species